AUGUACUUGGCCCACAGGCCCCUGAUGUCUGCGUCCAGCGAGGCCUCCAGUGGCGUCAGCAUGUUUGUGUGGAGGAACGUGGAACCUUGCUCUGUGGCUGUGUUCUCCUGGUACUCUGUCCCCUUCCUGACCCCUCCCUGCAGCUAUGUGAGGUCCAGCAACCUGCCAGUCACUCAGUGGCCUCCAACCAGAGCAAAGAACCUGCCAAGUCAGCAGCUGUUGCUCAUGAGUGUCCACCAGGUGGGACAGGGAGUGCUGACCCUGGGUGGCCCCCUGGAGCCACCUGCCCUGAAAGCCCAGGGCCCGCAACCCCACACACUUUGGGGGUGGUGGAACCUGGUAAAAGCUCACCUCCCACCAUGGAGGAGGAGCCCUGGGCCCCUCAGGGGAGUCCCUGCUGGACAGUGAGACAGAGAAUGACCAUGAUGAUGCUUUCCUCUCCAUCAUGUCUCCUGACACCCAGUUGCCUCUACCAGCCAGAUGAUGUCAGGCCCAGUCCCUCAGUGCCCUGCGCAAGGAACAGGACUCAUCUUCUGAGAAGGAUGGAUGCAGCCCCAACAAAUGGGACAAGGACCACAUCCGGUGGCCCAUGAGUGGCGGUCAUGAUCUUCAGCAAGCGGCACCAGGCCCUGGCAGGGCGCACCAGGGUCACCCCAACCAGGACAACCGGACCGUCAGCCAGAUGCUGAGCAAGCGGUGGUACACCCUGGGGCCCAAUGAGACGCAGAAAUACCACGACCUGGCCUUCCAGGUGAAGGUGGCCCACUUGCAACAAGGACCGAAAGAAGUCCAGCUCAGAGGCCAAGCCCACAAGCCAGGGGCUAGCAGGAGUGUAACAAGGGCUCGUGGGAGCGGAGAAUAUCAGAGACGGGCACUGCCACUGCCCCUGGGGUGUCCUCUGAACUCCUGUCAGUUGCAGCCCAAACACUCCAGAGCUCGGAUACCAAGGAGCAGCUUCUGUGGGGCAGAAUGGCUGCACACAGUCAGGGAACCUGGCUUAGCCUGGCCCAAGCCUUCUCCCACAGUGGGGUACACAGCCUGGACGGCAGGGAAAUAGACCGUCAGGCACUACGGGAACUGACACAGGUGGUGUCUGGCACUGCAUCAUACUCUGGCCCAAAGCCUUCUACUCAGUAUGGAGCUCCAGGCCACUUUGCAGCCCCUGGUGAGGGAGGUGACCAGUGGGCAGCCCUGCUGCUGCCCACCUGAGCUGCUCAUUCCCAGCACAUGGCCAGUGAGGACAUAGCAAGUGACGAGGAGCACACGGUCAUCCAUGAGGAGGAGGGGGUGAUGAUGUCAUUGCUGAUGAUGGCUUUAGCACCACUGACACCGAUCUCAAGUUCAAGGAGUGGGUGACCGACUGAGAGUGGGGACAACUCUGGGGAGGAGCCAGAGGGCAACAAGGGCUUUGGUGGGAAGGUAUUUGCACCUGUCAUUCCUUCCUCCUUUACUCCUGCCGCCCCUUGCUGGAUCCUGAGCCCCCAGGGUCCCCCGAUCCACCUGCAGCUUUUGGCAAAGUCUAUGGUCCCACCUUGUCCUCCUCCUACACAUACUCGGAUGCUUCCUCCUCAACCUUGGCACCCACCUCCUUCUUACUGGGCCCAGGAGCCUUCAAUGCCCAGGAGUCUGGUCAAGGCAGCAGAGCGGGCCCCCUACGGCCCCUACCCCUGGGGAUGGGGGCCCAGGGACGCCUUCCAAGGUGACCUGUUUCCUCCCAAUGGAUCCUGCCACCUUCUGGUGCAAGAGACCUGAAAGUGUGGGCGACCUGGAGCUACCAGGCUCCUCAGUCAUCAGGGUCCCUCCCAACCACGGACAUGGAUCCCACACUGGAGGACCCCACCACGCCCAAAUGCAAGAUGAGAAGAUGCUCCAGCUGCAGUCCAAAGCCCAACACCCCCAAGUGUGCCAUGUGUGAUGGGGACAGCUUCCCCUUUGCCUGUACAGGUGGAGAAGCCAAGGACAGGCUCAGGGAACCGGAGACCGAGAAGGCGCUGUCCUCUUCACUGCACGUGCCCUGGACCAGUGCCGGCCCUGAUCAUGCAGCUCUUCCAGGCCCACUGCUUCUUCCUGUCCACUAGGCCACAGCCGCCCUCCAGGCCCACUAUGCACACAUCUUCCCCUCCAAGGUUUGUUCUGCCCCUGCCCUGACUCCCAGCCCUGUGGGGGUCCUGACCGCACCUCACCUGGCUCAGACUCUUGACGCUGCCCUGGCUGCCCCACCACUGCCUCUGCCCGAGAGUCACGUGAGGCUGAGAGUAGGGGCAGGGGCAGCAGUGGUGCCAGUUGGGGGGCGGUCCAGUGGGAGGAGCCUCAGCCUCACGGGCUGCUCCGUGGGACUGAUGACUGCAUGAUCUUCUGGGCACCUCACGGAUCUUCAACUGCAGGUGAAACGGAUGCUGGUGGUGGGUGCAGGGCCGCUGGGAGCUGCUGCAUGGUUCCCAGAGGCUGGACUGGGGCAGGUGCCAACUGAAGCUGCUGGGGCAGCAUGGGCAGGAUGUUCUGCACACAAACCUUGGAGAAGACGAUGUGUGCAUAGCGGGUCCACUGCUGCUGCCCCUGCCCUGACUCCCAGCCCUGCCUGACCCCACCUCAACCUGCUCAGGCUCUGGCGCAACCCUGGCUGCCCUGCCACUGCCUCUGCCCCAGAGUUGGGGCCUUGACAGCCUGGUUGGAAGGGGACACCCCAGCCCUGCCUAAACACCUGGGGGGUCUCCAUAACUACCACAGGCAGG
rnacentral:lncRNA from 1 species